rfam:Streptomyces cellostaticus strain DSM 40189 genomic scaffold PRJNA299219_s078, whole genome shotgun sequence.
CUUCACCGAACCCAGCCACAACGGCCGCUCCUCCGGCCGCUCCUGUCCAUAGGUCGCGAGCAGCGCCUGCGCCUC